rnacentral:lncRNA from 1 species
CUGAAGGGCAUGCAGCAAUGAAGAGGACCACUCUGUACUUGGUAAAGUCAGAAGCAGUCAACAGUCAGACUGCAUCUCAACAUUGUCAAGCUGGAACUCCAUAACAGGUGAUGAAUAGUUUCAUUUGGAGGAUAUAUUAACUUUUACUAUUGGGGGAAAUUUUAGACUGGUCUGCCAGUUUGUACCACAUCAAGUUGAGGCCAGUAGAUAUACAUUCACAACCCUGUACCCAUCAAAUAAUCAAUUUUAUGUGUGACUUUGGGACUGACUCAUACAACCACAUUUCCUUUCUCCGCUCUAUACCCCACCUCUCCCACUUCCUCAUUCAUCAACCUCAUCACCUCCUCUACGGGUGCCAGUAAGUGCCGUCUUUCUUCAAGCUCUUUGCUCUCCUACUUUUAAGGUUCCCUAGGCUCUGGGAGAUGGAGGGUCUGGAAUGCUUUCUAGUGACAACGUGUCAGCCAGCUGCUGCUCCGGCUCUGCCUGCUCCUCCUCUCCCAUGAUUUCCCAACUUUCCCCCUCAUUUGCCUCUGAGCUGUGGCCUUCCACAAACCCCUCUUAUUAAUCUAUGGUGUCUUCCAUUUUCUCCUCCCUGGAAGGGUCAGUCUGGGGAGGUGGUCUCCACCACUCCCAUUCCUCUGUCCAGCCCCUGAUUAGAUUGAAGGUCACAGCCAUUUAAAGGAAUCCAUUAUAGUUAGAAUGUUAAAACUAAUAUAUUUUUCUAGAAUUAUAAAUCACAGGAUGCUAGUUGCAACUUUUAAGGAGAGAAAAAUGAAUUAUUAAGAUCUUGAUAAGAAUAUACAGCAUCCUCAGAAAAAGGUUCUUUGAAAAGAAUUGUGUUUUCUCAAAUUUGUCGCAACUAUUAUUUUUUGUUUGCAAGUAGGCAAUGUGUCUUAUAUCAGAGACUGAACUGAAACUGAUAAAGCUUCAUGAAAGUUAAUAACUUAUUAUAGAAAGAAAUCCAGGAGAGGCACCUAUGGUAUGGUAUGAUACAUAGUCGGGGAAGGGGAUGAAUUAAAUUGGAGAAUUGCAACAAUUAAUAUUAGGUUGAAAAAUUGCAACACAGAUCAACCAACCAGAAAGCCCCAGAUCUGUGAAAGAUUCAUUUCCAUAUAUCACCAUUCCUCUUUGCAAAGCCAAACUAGACUUUUGAUGGAAGAGUUAAGUCUGACAUCUAAAAAGCAGCUAGGUGGAAUGGGAUUUGGAAGGAAUAAAUGGCUGACAGAGAAGGGUUGUUGAACCUUUUCUGCAUCAAUUGCUUCUUCAUCGCAAACACCAGACACCCCGGGUGCAUUUUGCCCAGGUAUGUUUGUCAUGCUGAGCAUAUACUAAUGUAAAACAUGAGUUGGAAGAAUUUGAUACAUUCACUUGUGAGUGAAAGUGUCAAAGCUCCCCAGCAUCAUCAACAUCUGUUGUGGAGAGAGAAGAAGAUAAUUUAUGAGGUGUGUAAGGUUUUGUUUUUUGGCUUCUGUUUGGACAUAUAUUUUGGAGCUGUUUACUAUAUGCUCUGGUUUCACCAUCCAGAAUAAUUUGGAAUCAUCUGCAAACUUGGCUACUUCAUUGGUCACCUCAACUCUAAAUCAGUCAUGAUUCUGUUAUAAGGCGCCCCUCAUACAUCUCCCCAUUGCUACAACUGCCUGUUUACUCCAGUCUUCAGCUUCCUAUUGUUUAAUCGGUUACCAAAGCAUAAAGGGAACAACCUAUCCUUUUGUCCCAUGAUGGCUAAGUUCAGGAAGGAGUUUUGUUGAGCAACUUCUUCAAAACAUUUUGAGGAAAUCCAAGCAUAUAACAGACCCUCCAAGUUUCCCUAUUUUCCAGGGGCAGUCCCGGAUUUACAGAUGCUAUCCCAGUUUCUGAUUUGAUCCUGAAAUAUCCUGCUUUUCCUCAGGACAUCCCUAUUUUCAUCGGAUAAAUGUUGGAGGGUAUGGAGCUAUCUGAUUCGCAAGCCAUCUGAAGGCAGCCCUAUAUAGGGAAGUUUUUAAUGUUUUAUUAUGUUUUUAUAUAUGUUGGAAGCCACCCAGAGUGGUGACGGCAACCUAGUGAGAUGGGCAGAGUAAAAUAAUACUAAUACUAAUACUAAUACUAAUACUAAUACUAAUACUACUAAUAAUAAUAAUAAUAGAAUAAGACAUCCCUAUUUUCAUCGAAGAAAUGUUGAAGGGUAUGAUAUAAUGUUCACCAUAUUACAUAGCCACCUGUGCUCAAAGAAUGCCACAAACCUGUCGAGGCAAGACUUCGCUUUUCAGAUGCAAGUUAUGUCCUUCUAAAUGCUAAAUAAUUCUUUCAUCAUGCUUUCCACAAAUCUACCUAGAAUAGACUUUAAGGCAGGCAGCCCCAGACUGAUUUCCUCCAGAUCCUUUGUAUAACUUUAAUCAUGCUUGGCUAUUAGUCCUACUGGCUGGCGGGCACCAGAUUGGGGUAAUGCUGCUUUAAACUAAAGCAGAGGUUGACAGACAUUUUGGACCAGUGGGCACAUUUCAAAUUUUGAAAAAAAAAAAUGCUGUGAAAUCUUUUUUGAGGUGAGGCAACCAGAACCGUACACAGUAUUCCAAUGUGGUGAUGGCACAGAUCUGUGUAAUAAAUUGUAUUGUGGUAUCAGCAGUUUCAAUUUCAAUUACUUUCCUAAUCCAGGUUCAGAAGGAGCUCCUGCUUUAAGUCUGCACCAUCUAAGAAUGCUCAAGUCUUUGAAAGCAUCUUAACAUCAAAUAUUCCUUAGCAUGAAAUGAUAACACAUCAGAGAGAAUACUUGGCCUCUGUAACUUUAGAGGGUUGCUUGAAAUUUGGGCAAUGACUGAAAAAAAUAUCAGAAGCCAUCUGGUUUCUUGAGCCUCCCUAUGACAAGCUGCAGAAUGCUAGAAUAUGCAAAAUAACAACUUUAUGCAGCUCUGACUACAGGAUUCAAGUUUCAGGAUAUAGAAUUUGGCUUACUUCCUUGGCACAUAUGCCUUUUUCUUCUUCUUGGUAAUGUACUAUGAGUCUCCAGCCUGAUGACAACUAUAAUAUUAAUUGAAUUCUACUUCAAUUGAUUCUUGGGUACACUCAGAGUUGCCUUCUCUAAAGGCACAUGGAAAGAUCGGUGUGAGG